UACGUAGGGUGCAAGCGUUAUCCGGAAUUAUUGGGCGUAAAGAGCUCGUAGGCGGUCUGUCGCGUCUGCUGUGAAAACCCGAGGCUCAACCUCGGGCCUGCAGUGGGUACGGGCAGACUAGAGUGCGGUAGGGGAGAUUGGAAUUCCUGGUGUAGCGGUGGAAUGCGCAGAUAUCAGGAGGAACACCGAUGGCGAAGGCAGAUCUCUGGGCCGUAACUGACGCUGAGGAGCGAAAGCGUGGGGAGCGAACAGG
rnacentral:rRNA from 1 species